rnacentral:tRNA from 1 species
GCUUGAGUAGCUCAGUUGGUUAGAGUGUGGCUGUUAACCACUAGGUUGAGGGUUCAAGCCCUUCUUCUAGCG